UUCCUUCUCUUGCUGCUUCAGAGUCAGACCCAUCAGAAAAAAAAAGGACAUGGGGGAACCAGGAUGAGACAACGGGAGUAUCCAGAAAAGAACCAAGAACGAAAAGAAAACACCGGAUUGGUAAAAACCAAUGAAUUGCACUAGUAGUGAAGAGGAGAUAACACCUAUAUCCUAAAUGGACUGUCACAGUGACACAGGAAAACAAAUGCAAAAUUCCUGGGACAUGGUAACACACAGAAAAAGGGGGACUCCACAAGGACACAUUUCUUCAUAAAUCUUUCCAACUAGACCACACUUGACAUUGAAGGCUUGUUUCCAAGUGGACGACUCAUCUGGAAAAGAGCAAGCUCUUCCUGGCAGAAUCUGAAGUAAUAAUGUUUAGAAACUGAGCAGUAAGAGAAGUAAAAUUGAAACUGGCAACCCAAAUGGUGGCUUGGCUGUUCAUUCUCUUUUGGACUUGAGGAGUAAAGGAUGAAUCCACAAUGAAACUAGCCUCAUGGACCAGGUAAAAAGUAACUGGACUACGAAGUUAAGAAAUGCCUCGAGCAAAAUAAAAGGUAGAAGUA